rnacentral:tRNA from 1 species
GCCUGGGUGGCUCAGUCAGUUAAGCACCUGACUCUUGGUUUCAGCUCAGGUCAUGAUCUCACAUUUCAUGGGUUCGAGCCCCAUAUCGGGCU